ACAAUCCCAGCUGCCCCAGCAGCUCUAGAAGAGGCUGGCAGAAGGACAUGCUGUCUGAAAGCAGGCCUACCACCUCUGGAUAGGAAUCCAGCUGGCCAAGUGACAUCUAUGCUAACUGUAGUGGUUUUUGCCACAAGGAUUCAGUUGUGCUUGAAGCCAUCACCCUGUCUGGAUGAUGUAAAGACUCUGCAGAGCAUACUGAGGAGAACGUCAUAAAGGUUCCUCCAUGUACCAUUUGGUUUCCCUGAAACAAGCAGUGAUACCAGUCACAUCGCUGUGCUCAUGUACUUCUUACUCAAGUUUGUCCCUAGGCAUUAGAGAGAAGCAUAAGAUUUCCUCUAAUAUUCAUUCUUGUUGAGUUGUGAGUCAUCUUCUCAUUCAAAACAAAUGAACCACCAAAUAAGCAAACAAAGCAGUAGAAACUGUAUUCUUUUCCAGUCACUGGCAAUCAGAGAGAUUCUUUGAACGGCGAAAUGAAGUCAGAUCUACUUUUAUCUGCUUCUUGAACUUUUGAACAUUAUGGACGCCAUUUCUUAUCUUUUGUUCUUGGCAAGAAACUGUAAAUAAAGUGUAGAGCUGAAAAUUUCUACA
rnacentral:lncRNA from 1 species